GCUAACGUCCGUCGUGAAGAGGGAAACAACCCUGACCCGCAGCUAAGGCCCCCAAUUCAUGGCUAAGUGGGAAAGCAUGUGGGACUUCCAAAACAACCAGGAGGUUGGCUUAGAAGCAGCCAUCCUUUAAAGAUAGCGUAACAGCUCACUGGUCUAGUCAAGAGGUCCUGCGGCGAAGAUGUAACGGGGCUCAAGCCAUGAGCCGAAGCUCGGGAUGCACAGCGAUGUGCGUGGUAGCGGAGCGUUCUGUGAUAUAGCUCCAUGCCUCUUCUGUUCCUCAGGCAACUGGGAAACAUCGGAGGCAAGGAGCUUUCUGUGAAGCCGGGCUGUAAGGCAUCCGGUGGAGAGAUCAGAAGCGAGAAUGUUGACAUGAGUAGCGACAAACAGGGUGAGAGACCCUGUCGCCGAAAGUCCAAGGGUUCCUGCUUAAAGCUAAUCUGAGCAGGGUAAGCCGGCCCCUAAGGCGAGGCCGAAAGGCGUAGUCGAUGGGAACCAGGUUAAUAUUCCUGGGCCAGGAGGAUGUGACGGAUGCUUAACGUUGUCAGGCCUUAUCGGAUUGGUCUGGCAGCCGCGGUGUCCCUGGAAAUAGCCCUCCAUCAGACCGUACCCUAAACCGACACAGGUGGACUGGUAGAGUAUACCAAGGCGCUUGAGAGAACCACGUUAAAGGAACUCGGCAAAAUGCUCCCGUAAGUUCGCGAGAAGGGAGCCCCGUCUGUAGGCAACUAUGGGCGGGGGGCACAGACUAGGGGGUGGCGACUGUUUACUUAAAACACAGGGCUGUGCGAAGCCGUAAGGCGACGUAUACAGUCUGACGCCUGCCCGGUGCCGGAAGGUUAAAAGGAGGGGUGCAAGCUCCGAAUUGAAGCCCCGGUAAACGGCGGCCGUAACUAUAACGGUCCUAAGGUAGCGAAAUUCCUUGUCGGGUAAGUUCCGACCUGCACGAAUGGCGUAACGAUCUCCCCGCUGUCUCUAACGUGGACUCAGCGAAAUUGAACUGUGUGUCAAGAUGCACACUACCCGCGGUUAGACGGAAAGACCCCAUGAACCUUUACUCCAGCUUCGCACUGGCAUCAGGAUUGCGAUGUGCAGGAUAGGUGGUAGGCAUUGAAAUCGGGACGCCAGUCUCGAUGGAGCCAACCUUGAGAUACCACCCUUCGCACUCUUGAUGUCUAACCGCGGCCCGUUAUCCGGGUCCGGGACCCUGCGUGGCGGGGAGUUUGACUGGGGCGGUCGCCUCCCAAACAGUAACGGAGGCGCGCGAUGGUGGGCUCAGACCGGUCGGAAAUCGGUCGUCGAGUGCAAUGGCAGAAGCCCGCCUGACUGCAAGACUGACAAGUCGAGCAGAGACGAAAGUCGGCCAUAGUGAUCCGGUGGUCCCAAGUGGGAGGGCCAUCGCUCAACGGAUAAAAGGUACUCUGGGGAUAACAGGCUGAUGAUGCCCAAGAGUCCAUAUCGACGGCAUCGUUUGGCACCUCGAUGUCGGCUCAUCUCAUCCUGGGGCUGGAGCAGGUCCCAAGGGUAUGGCUGUUCGCCAUUUAAAGAGGUACGUGAGCUGGGUUUAGAACGUCGUGAGACAGUUCGGUCCCUAUCUGCCGUGGGUGUAGGAGACUUGAGAAGAGUUGCCCCUAGUACGAGAGGACCGGGGUGAACGCUCCACUGGUGGACCAGUUAUCGUGCCAACGGUAGUGCUGGGUAGCUAUGAGCGGACAGGAUAAACGCUGAAGGCAUCUAAGCGUGAAGCCCCCUUCAAAACAAGGUCUCCCUUGAGGGCCGUGGAAGACCACCACGUCGAUAGGCCGGAGGUGUAAGCGCAGCAAUGCGUGUGCUGACCGGUACUAAUUGCCCGAUUGGCUUGAUCCA
rnacentral:rRNA from 1 species